rnacentral:rRNA from 1 species
AGAACGAACGCUGGCGGCAGGCUUAACACAUGCAAGUCGAACGCUCGUAGCAAUACGGGAGUGGCAGACGGGUGAGUAACGCGUGGGAACAUACCCUCCGGUUCGGAAUAGCUCAGGGAAACUUGGAUUAAUACCGGAUACGGCCGAGAGGCGAAAGAUUUAUCGCCGGAGGAUUGGCCCGCGUUCGAUUAGCUAGUUGGUGAGGUAACGGCUCACCAAGGCGAUGAUCGAUAGCUGGUCUGAGAGGAUGAUCAGCCACAUUGGGACUGAGACACGGCCCAAACUCCUACGGGAGGCAGCAGUGGGAAUAUUGGACAAUGGGCGCAAGCCUGAUCCAGCCAUGCCGCGUGAGUGAUGACGGCCUUAGGGUUGUAAAGCUCUUUCGCUCGGGACGAUAAUGACGGUACCGAGAUAAGAACGCCCGGCUAACUUCGCGCCAGCAGCCGC